GAAGAGACAAGCCACAGACUUGGAGAAAAUAUUUGUAAAACAUAUAUCUGAGAACUUAUAUCCAAAAUAUACAAAGAAUACUUAAAAUUCAACAAUAAUAAAGCAAGCAACCCAGUGAAAAUAUGAGCAAAAGAUAUGAACUUCACCAAAGAAGACAGACUGGUGGCAAAUAAUCAUAUGAAAAGAUACUCAACAUCAUUUGCCGUCAGGGAAUUACAAAUUAAAACAGUAAUGAUAUUCCACUACAUAACUAUUAGAAUAGACAAAAUCUGCAAAACUGACAAUGUCAACACUGACGUAGAUGUGGAGUAAUGGGAACUCUCAUUCUUUGCUGGUGGAAAUGCAAAAUAAUACAGCUACUUUGGAAGACAGUUUGGUAGUUUAUAACACAUCUAAACAUGGUCUUAAUAUACAACCCAGCAAUUUUGUUCCUAGGUAUUUACCCAACUGAUUUGAAGACUUAAGAACACACAAAAACCUGUAUGCAAAUGUUUAUUCAUAGUCACCCAAAACCAGUGGCAACCAGAUGUCCUCCAGUGGGUGAAUGGAUAAACAAACUGGUACAACUAUAUAAUUGAAUAUUAUUACACAAUAAAAAGAAAUGAACUACCAAGUCACAAUAAGACGUGGAUGAAUCUUAAAUGCAUAUUACUAAGUGAGAGAAACCAGUCUGAAAAUGUUACCUAUUCAUGAUCCCAAUUACGUGACAUUCUGGAAAAGGGAAAACUACUAGGGUAACGAAAAGAUCUGUAGUUGCCAAGGGCUCAGGGAGAAGGGAGGGAUGAUUAAAUAGGUGAAGCACAGGGGAUUUUUUUGGGGGGUGCUGAAAUUAUUCUAUAUGAUACUGUAAUUGUGUAUAUACAACAUUAUGCAUUUGUCAAAACCACUGAAUGUUACAGCACAAAGACUGAACCUUAAUGUAUAUACAUAUACAGAUACAUUAUGUCAGAUGGCGAUAAGUACUAAGGAAACAAAAUCAAGCAGGAUAAGGGAUAAAGAAUGACAGGAGUAGACAAGGCAGUUUGUAUAGGGUGGCAGGAAUGGCAUCUCUCUGAUAAAAUGAUAGUUGAGCAAAGAUCUGAAGGGGAUGAGAGGAUGAAUCAUGCAAAUAUCUAAGGAAGAGGAUUCCAUGGAGAGGGAACUGUACGUCUAAAAGCCCAGAGGUGGGAGUGUGUUUAGUAUAUGGACAGAGAGUGAAAGGGCCAGGAUAGAUGGAGCGGCCUGGGCACGAGGCGAAGAGCCAGGCCGGGCGGGCCUUCUAGGCAACAGUGAGGACCAAAUAAAUGAAUCAAUAAGUGAGAUGAAUGGAAACUGUUCAUCUUGAAAUUUAUUUUAGGUACUCCAGCCUUUCAAAAAAAAUUUAAAUGAAGAGUCAUCCUUUGCAAUACACCUCCCUCCCCCAAGCAUACACAAACAUUUUAUCAUAACAAUACCAAAAUCUCUUAGCCUGCGAUUGCUCCAACAAGACCCUCUAGUCCCGCCGAAGCAGUCUAAGGCAUGUCAUCUCCUUUCCAAAACAAAAUUUCAGACUAGUUUCUAGAAAGGCAAAGUGAAAUGAAGGCUUGAGGCCAACUUUUCACAUAAUUCGAUUUAAAAAAAAAAAAAACAAAACUCACAUAUGCCUGAAAUCUUUAGAUAAUGGAGAGAAAAGUGGAUUUUCCUCUCUUCGUUAUUAGAGCAAUUGGCUCAAACUCUCAUUUCAUUUUGGACAUAUAGGCACAACCCAGAGUCUGUAAUUAGUUUCAAACCACCAAAGUAGAAACAGAAUAAAAUUUCAACUAACUGAAGGACCUUUUUUCCCUUGACAUACUUGGCUUUCAAUGGCUAGAGGCAUAAGGCAUGGAUCCAAAAAGCAAGCUUAUGACUGGGACUGAUUUAAAAAAAACAAAAUAACUUGCAAAGUAUGCCUUGGGUGAGUCCAGUAUAAGCUCCUUACCUGCUGCCUUCUCCCUCUCUAGUUCUAGUCCCAUGUAAGGAGAGAAGAUAUCCUGAAGGAUGACGAAAUCCCCAAUCAUUGGAGGGCAGUCCCCACCAGGCUCAUCACUGGAAUGCUAAGACAGGCGCAGAGCUCUCACCUCUUUCAGAGGUUGGAAGUUCCUUCCUCCAGGAAACUUUUCCUGACCCACUCAGUUGGAUAAGAAGCCCCUCCCUUGGUACCAUGCCACCCUGGGAUCUCCAUCUGUUCACUGUCACACUGCAUUGCUACCGCUAGGCAAUUUCUCCCUCACCUCAAUAGGCACGCAAGAGCUCCGAGAGGGUAAGAGUGGGAAAUACAUGGAUCUUGCUGUUGCUUCUCCA